rnacentral:rRNA from 1 species
AUCGAACGCUGGCGGCAUGCUUUACACAUGCAAGUCGAACGGCAGCGCGGGCUUCGGCCUGGCGGCUAGUGGCGCACGGGUGAGUAAUACACCGGAACGUCCCCCCCUGUGCGUGAUAGCACCUCGAAAGCCGGAUUAAUACCGCAUACGACCUGCGCCUGCAAGCGGGGGAUCUUCGGACCUCGCGCUAUUGGGGCGACCGAUGCCGGGUUAGCUAGCUGGUGGGGUAAAGGCCUACCAAGCCGACCAUCUGUAGCUGGCCUGAGAGAGCGACUGGCCGCACGGGGACUGAGACACGGACCAGAGUCCUGCGGGAGGCAGCAGUGGGCAAUUGUGGGCAAUGGGCGGGAGCCUUGUCCAGCAGUGCGACGUGUGUGAUAAAGGCCUUCCGGUUGGAAAGCACGUUUGGCGGGAGCGAAAAGGACUGUCCCAAUACCAAGGUUCGGUGACGGUACCCGCAGAAUAAGCACCGGCUAACUACGUG